rnacentral:lncRNA from 1 species
AUGAAGAUGCUUCAAAAAUUUGUAAAAAAUACAAUAAAAAGACAGUGUUUCAUCUGUAAUGUGAUGGAGGCAGAAUUGCAAACCAGUGCUCCCCUCUGGACCUCCCCGCCACUCUGCUUCACCUGGAACCUUCUUCUGAUGGAGAGGCAUGACUGCAUCUCUUACUUACAUCCCGAGGAGAAAGGUGAGACUCAUGCCUGAUGAGUGUGGAGUCCUGAGGCUGCUCCCACUGACAGCAUCUGGACUACUGACCAACAGCACAGAACCUCUGAGUGCUGUUUCCAGUAUUUCCUGUCUCAUCCUUCCUCUGUCAUAGCCAAGUCUUUACCAUCCCUUGCCUGGGCUAUGAUAUCCCUACCUCAGUCCCUACUCCCUCUAGUCCUGUGACAUGUGGGCAAUACAGCCUUAUCAUGUCUCUUUCCUUCUUAGAAAUCUGCAGGGGCUUCCUCCUCAUCUGAAAAUGGAUUCAAAUACUCUUUCUGGUGCAGAGUGCAGUUCCAUUUCUACUGCUCCAGCCUUCUUCUGGUAUCUCUCAUAGAAUAUAUCAGAGAGCAUCCAGGCAAGACAGAAGCCCCUCUAGGUAUUUUAACAGAGAAAAUUCAAAAUAGGGAAUUAAUUAGACACAGACUGUUGUGUUUCAAAAGUUUUAGCCAAAGGAAGCAGCUGUUGAUCCUAUGCUGUGGGGUGGGGGAGAGGGGAAGAGAUCGGGAUGAUUGCAUCCUAGAAGCCUGGAGCAAGAGAUUUGUUUAGACAAGGCUCAGGUCUCGGAGGAGAGAGAGAUCCCCUGCAGGUGCUGGAGACUCAACUCAGGAAGAGGGGGUGUUCCAUGGGCGAGAGAAAGAUGGGGCUGCUCAGCUUCUGCCCUGCUUCAGGAGUUUGGAGAAAAGUGCAUAUGAGCUGGGCUUAGAUCGCCAAAGAGAGGGAGCUGCCUGCUGGUCCUUGCUCUUCAGAGGAGCACAGGAAGGCUGCAGUCAAAGGGUCCUGGAGACUGGAGCCUAUUGUGGCCCCCUCCGGUGGGGUGUGUGUGAAGAGCUACCAGUGGGGCAAUGCUGACAGCAGAGCAGACCAGCCUCCCAGUCUCUGUCUAGAGUUGACCGUUUGUGAGACCUAAUGGAGAGCCAGCUGACACAGGGCACAGGUGAUCUGAAGACUCCCCAGUCCUUGUACCACAUGGCUGAGCGUAGAAGGGUGAAUCAGAGCU